rnacentral:lncRNA from 1 species
AGGUGUCUAUAUUUGCAACAGGUCAGAUUGUUUACCUGUCGCGAUCUUUUUGACUUCAGGGAAGAGCCAGAAGUCACCCAGCCCCAGAUCCUGUGAAUAAGGUGAGUGAGGACACAUCAGCAUGGCUUUAAGAGCCUGCCUUUCCCCUCGAUGGCACUCAGAGGCAGCAGUCACCACAUUCAUCACACCUCACCAAACAAGACUUCAGAACUGUCAGAAAGUGACAAGAAUAAGACAGAAGGCUCCCAUUUGGGUAAUAUGUGGACUGUGAUAAAGGACACAUCUUCAAGAAGAAAAUGGAAGUAUGUGGAGGAAGGACCAGGACAGAGAAGACAACCACCUACUAGACCAUGGAGGAGAUCAGAUUUCUUCUCAUCAUCUGUAAACUGCCCAUGUGACUCCAUUCACAUUUAGAUCUGUAUACCUAGAACCUCAAAUCUACUUUUCUGUAAAUUCUUAAAGGUCAGUUCAUCUAUGCUGUAACUCUUUAUCCUGUAUGUAAGGUUUUCUAUCACCCAUGAUGUAUUAGACAUUUUCCAUUAUUGUAAUAAAAAAUCUGACAUGAUCAACUUACAA